GAUGAACGCUGGCGGCGUGCCUAAUACAUGCAAGUCGAGCGAACAGACGAGGAGCUUGCUCCUCUGACGUUAGCGGCGGACGGGUGAGUAACACGUGGAUAACCUACCUAUAAGACUGGGAUAACUUCGGGAAACCGGAGCUAAUACCGGAUAAUAUAUUGAACCGCAGGGUUCAAUAGUGAAAGACGGUUUUGCUGUCACUUAUAGAUGGAUCCGCGCCGCAUUAGCUAGUUGGUAAGGUAACGGCUUACCAAGGCAACGAUGCGUAGCCGACCGGAGAGGGGGAUCGGCCACAUGGGAACUGAGACACGGUCAAGACUCCUACGGGAGGCAGCAGUAGGGAAUCUUACGCAAUGGGCGAAAGCCUGACGGAGCAACGCCGCGUGAGUGAUGAAGGUCUUCGGAUCGUAAAACUCUGUUAUUAGGGAAGAACAAAUGUGUAAGUAACUAUGCACGUCUUGACGGUACCUAAUCAGAAAGCCACGGCUAACUACGUG
rnacentral:rRNA from 1 species